UUUCCGUAGGUGAACCUGCGGAAGGAUCAUUAAAGAGAAUAUCCCCUUCGGGGUAGAUCUCCCACCCUUUGUUUAUAUUACCUUUGUUGCUUUGGCAGGCCCGUCUUCGGACCACCGGCUUCGGCUGGUCAGUGCUUGCCAGAGGACCCAAAACUCUUAUUAUUAAUGUCGUCUGAGUACUAUAUAAUAGUUAAAACUUUCAACAACGGAUCUCUUGGUUCUG
rnacentral:misc_RNA from 1 species